UAUGAAUGCACAGUGCACUUGCCCUUUACAGUCAUGCUGCAACAAAUAGGUCACUGUUCCAAAACCUUCUUCACUUGCAUCACUGAAGUGGUGAAGCUGAGCGCUCAAAGUAUUGUCAAAAUUUGGAGGUUUAAGGCACCGGGUGACUUCAAAACUUUGAAGUUGAUGAAGUCCAUCCAACCAUUUUUUCCACUCCUGCACGAUAUCCUGUGGCAAAGGAUCGUCCCAACCAACUCGUCUUCUGCUCAUGAUCUGAAGGAGUUGCUUUGCGGUCAGCACAAAUGGCGCAAGAAAACCCAGGGGAUCAUAGAUAGAGCUUACGACCGAUAAAACUCCUCUUCUUGUCAGAGGUUUGUCUUUCAACAUGAUGUUGAAUCUGAACAGAUCUGACUCAACACUCCACAGCACACCCAAUGCACGCUCUACUGGUAAAUUGUCUCUGUUCAGGUCUAUGUUCUUCACCUCUUUGGAUCUUUCAUGCUGUGGUAUAGCAUUUAUGACAUUACGGCGAUUGCUUAUCCACUUCAGAAGCUGAAAGCCUCCCUUUUUGCACAGUGCACGUAAACCAUGAUAUAACAUAACAGCUUCCUCUUCACAACUCACAGACACCAAACAGUCAUCCACGUAAAAGUUAUGAAGCACAGUGUUGGUCACAUUUGAGGUGAACAAAUGCUGAUUAUCUUCUGUACAUUUCCUCAGCGCAAAACUGGAACAGUUUGGAGAAGAUGUUGCGCCAAAUAGGUGUACAACCAUUCUGUACUCCACCAGCUCUUGUGUAUGGUCUCCGUUUGUCCACCAGAGAAAUCUCAACAGAUCAGAAUCAGAAUGGGGUACUCUAACUUGAUGAAACAUAGCUUCUAUGUCUGCCAUAAGGACAACAGGCUCCUUUCUGAAUCGAGUGAUGACACCCACCAAUGAAUUUGAGAGAUUAGGGCCCUGUAAAAGCUGAGCAUUCAGAGAAACUCCUCGGAACGUAGCACCACAGUCAAACACCACUCUAAUCUUCUUCUUCUGAGGGUGGUAAACUCCAUGAUGUGGUAAAUACCAAACCUUUCCAUCACCACGAUUAAGCUCUUCAACAGGAACUCUCUCUGCGUAGCCUUUAGAGAUUAUGUCAUUCAUGUAACCUGUGUAGUCAGAAUGGUAUUGUUGGUCUUUAGUAAAUCUCCUUUGUAACAUCAAAACACGCUGUUCUGCUACCGCCCUAUUGUUUGGCAUCUUCACAUCAAUCUGUCUCAGAGGUAGUCCAAUGACAUAGUGGUUGUCUUUCAGCUUGAUGGAUUUUGAAACCAUCUCCAUGAAACGAUGAUCUUCCCUUGACCAUCCAAGCUCCUCAUCUUGAGAACAUUCAGGGAAAUCCAUUUUCAUCUGCUGUUGCCACAGAUCAUCAAGUCUAGACACAGAUAUUCUGUUCACAGUGACACUUAACUGUUUAUUUCUUCUUUCUCCACCAACUACAACUCUUAGAGGUCCAUUUACUGUCCAGCCAAGGAUUGUUUUAACUGCAUAUGGACCACCAUCUUCGCUUCGUAUGACAUGCCAUGGUUCUAGUGCUUUAGGGACAUUUGCACCAAUAAGCAAAUCAAUUCCUGAAUUGAUUUCUGUGAUUCUUAAGUCUGCCAGAUGUGGCCAUUUUAGCAGAUCGUCUUGAUGGGGAAUAUUAUCACGAUGUACAGGCAUACAACUCUGUGUGUACAAUUCGGGUAAUUCACAAAACAUAUCUUCAUCCAAUCCAGCUAUCUCCAAGUCUGAAACGAUGCAACUCCCAACCAUCUUCUCCUGACCCAUUGUUCUUAAGAGGAUGUUGGUUCUUCUCCCACUUAGCUUUAGUUUCCUCAUGAGUUCAUCAGUGCAAAACGAUGCAGAGCUACCAGGGUCGAAGAAGGCGUAUGUUAUUAUCAUUUGUUGGCUCUUUUUGGAUUUAACUCGAACUGGUACAAUCGGUAGAGUACAAUCAUGUUCACCGGCCCCAGUUAAACCACUAGAUUGGACAGAAAGUGAAGCCAUCGCACAUGCACUGUCAGUGUUCUCCUUCCUCUGAAUUGGACCAGUUUCCUUUUCUUUAGGAAAGAUGUGCAGCAUUGUGGGAUGCUUCAAACCACACACUUUACAUUCCAGCCUUCUCCUGCAGUCUUUACUCAUGUGCCCAAUGCACAGACAACCAAAACACAGACCCUUUUCUUUUAAAAAGGUCAUUUUCUCCACAUGUGUUCUCUUUUCCAAUAGAGGGCACAAAUCCAAAUAAUGUCCUGAUCCACAGAAAAGACAGCUUUUAGCAACAGGUAAAUUUUUCUCUCUCUCCAUUCUAGGUUCUACCUUCCUUUUUGUAGCACCAACUGUGGUAGCAAAACUGCUUCCUUUGAACUUUGAACAUGGCUGUGGCUUGGAAGCUCUAACAACCUUCCUUGGAGUAGAUAAGUCUUGAAUAUCACCAAACAGUGGGUCACUUUCAAUCUUCACCUGCUUCUCAAUAAACUGAACAAUAUCAAGAAGGUUGACUCUUCUGUGAAACCUUUCCUGUAUGUCACAAACAACGUGUCUCCAUUUAUCCUUCAACUUAUAUGGUAAUUUCCUGAUAAUAGCUUGCAUAUUGCCAGGAACAUCCAACUCGUGCAUGAAUUCAGUGUCUUCCAUAACAUUACAGCAUUCUCGGAGUAGAAAACUGUAUGCUUGUAAAGCUUUUACAUCUUCAGAUUUUAUAGCAGGCCAUGAAAAAACUUUAUCCAUAUAUGCAGAAAUUAUCUUGAUUGAGCAGCCAAAAUGUUCUUGAAGUAGUAACUUUGCUUUAACAUAUCCAGAAUCACUGGGCAUUUGGAUACAACUUCUUACUAGCUCUCGAGGUUGACCUCUAGUGUACUGUUCUAAAAAAUACAAACAAUCCUUUGCACUGUUUGUUUUAGCUUCAAUGCUGUCUUCAAAUGCGCUAAUGAAAGACUUGUAAUGAAGAGGAUCACCAUCAAAUACUGGAAUUUCUCUUUUUGGGAGUGAAAAUACAGACUGUUGAUGAACCAACAAAGACGUGAUUUCAUUUUGUCUUUCCAAUACUGAUAUUAAUUGGUUACUUUCACCAGCUGAUGAUGGGUUCGUUUCAUGUGCUGUUUGAGGGUGAGACUGAUUCAUAGUAUAAGCUUCAUUUUGUUGAGUCACUGAGUUCAUCUGAUCUACGCCUGUAAUUUGAGUCUGAGUAUCCACUCGAUUUACUUUAGUAUUGACGACUGGCUGUGAAUGAGGCUGACACACUGUAACACUAUUGUGAGAUUGUUGUCCAAUAACUGUAGGCUCAAAUGAUUCAGAAUAAGGAUUUAAGGUUUGCGUUUUCUUUUGUUCUCUUUCAAAAUAAGAGUUCAUUCCAUCAGAUCCGUUACGUGAAGCAGCUGUUGCUUGAGAACAAGCUGAGCUCUGCUGGUACACCUUUACUUUAGCCACUGAUGCUGCAAUUUCAGUCUCCAAACUCAGUUCUUCUUUCCUUUUCCUGAGCUGUUCCUCUUGCUCUUCUAAAGCAUGCUUUUGUUUUAACAUUUUCUGUCUUGCCAUUAAUGCAGCAAUGUCUGCUUCAGCUUUAAUGCGUGCUGAAGAUGUUGAGGAUAGAGAUGAUCUACUCCUACUUGAGUGGCUUUUGUUUGAUCUUCUGCUACCAAUGUUGGAAACACUGUCAUUUGGCUUCACAUCAUCAAUUGCAUCAUUGCUGUUCUUUGACCCAUGAGAAAUGUAUGACUCUGCUGCUUUUUUGACUGAAGAUUCAACAAAUAACUCAGACUGUUGUGGAUGAGAGGUUUCUUCUGUGGUGGAAGCCUUUAGGUCACAUGACUGAUCAUACACAUUUGAAAGCCAACUUCCAACUUCAGCUAUAAAUGCAGAAUUAAAUCUAUAAAUGCUUGAAAACCAGUUAUUUUGCAGUUCUUGUUCCUCUAAUGGAAGUAGUGGAAUGACAGAUUCAUGAAGCUGAUUAACAUCUUCCAUUAAUGUCUUUAAGUUAUCAGAGUGAGACUGAACAAUCUUAACAUUUUCUUGAGUUUGCAUAAAUUCCUUGAGGUUUCUGAUUACAGUUUUAAUUUCAUUAAUCUUUCUUUGACGGUCUUUCUGUAGCUUUUCAAUCUUGUUUUCCAAAGCUUUAACAGUAAGCUUUGGUUGUCUUUUUUCAUCUUUAUCUUUAACAUCAGAGUGUGAUAUAGAUUCGCUUGGCUCCAUUUUGUUAUUUAAACGUGAAGAUGAGUUGUCAUCACUGUCCGUCUUCAGGCGCAUGCAUCUGUUGUGUGUGCUUCCAUACCUCAGGUCCAACGGUUUUAUGAAUGAACGCCGUACCAAACCAUCGAUGAAUGAACGUAGUGGGCUGCGGCGCUCCAAUCACGUCGCACAUCCAGUAGUUUCCAGUUCCAAAAGCGAUCGAAUGAUCUCCAAAACUCCAGGGUGAUAAUUCCACCAAUCAAAGUCUCUGAGAGUCACAAUUUGUUGACUUUAUUGUUGCGGCUAAACAGCGUUGAGGGCCGCCGUGAGCUAAGCUGCGGCUUCUUUGUCCGACGCGCGUUCCAAUGAAAAGUCCCAAACGUCUGCCUGGCUGCGAAGUAUUUAUUUUAUUCUGCAGGUUUCCAAUCCAUACAGUCCAAACGAUUGAUAAGUUAAAUAUUCCAGCAGUGACAGGCUUCCAAAACCACUCAAGUGACGCGGUCAAGUAACGCGGUCAACAAAUUAUGUGAACACCGCGGCUCACCCCACUUCCUCAUCCAUUCACAUCCCUCACCGCGAGUAAGUGAGCACCUUUCAAACUUCGUGCCACGCACGCCCCCAGUGACACACCCACAACCUGGCUGAUGACGCAGCGCUUCACCUGUGCCACCUUCAGUUGGCUCAUACAGAUGGGACGAGUGACACUGGUGCAUCAGCACUGUGCCGAGAGCUCAAGAGGGAAACCUCGCAUCGGUGUGUUUAUCGCUUUAAGGAAGAAUCACGUGACCAAACAGGAACUGUAUCGUUUGGAUGUGCCGCGCCAAAGUGUGUUUAUCAGGAAACAAACUGCAUCAACAUGUCGAGGGUUUGUCGGAUGGAGUUCUGCUUGAUCCUGGAUCGUCCUAGGAAGUUUUCCCCGUGUGGAAUAAUUUUGAUCUUGUGACGCCAAACAAGGUAAAUCUUUUUCUCCUUUAUAUACUAUUUUUUACAGUGGCGCAUUGCACUCACUUUAUCAGUCUAUCAAGUGAAUGACCUGUGAUACAUAUGAUAGUCAGUUAAAGAGCCUUACAGUUGCUUUAUUCAUGUUAUCAUGUAAUCAUGAGAUCCUUAUCCGUAAUCAUGAGAUAGGGUGUCUAUUUUCUAUAACAUGUGAAUGUAAUGUUCUGGUAAGAGGUUUGAAUUGUUUUCAGAUAAAUGAACUUUUUGUGUUAUUGUAGGUGAAGUGUCGGCUCUGCUCCACAGAGCUAUCUUAUAUCAAUAAGAGCACUUCAUCAAUGCUGAGGCAUUAUAGAGCUACGCAUGGCAAUGAAGAAUUGGCAGAUACUCGUGAGAGUACCCCAGUGGAUGAGGCAGUGGUCAAUAUAAUCAAAGACAGUCAGGAUUCAGGGAGCUCCUGAAGCUUCUUGUACCCUCGUAUGCUCUACCAAGCAGAAAGACCAUCAAGGACUUGGUGAGCCAGAGAUAUGAGGAGGAAAAGGAGAAAACCAAAAAGGACCUCCAGAGUGCCGUUGCUGUUACUUUAACAGCUGAUAUGUGGACGUCGAUGAAUAUGGAGGCAUAUCUAGCCGUUACUGGCCACUAUGUGGACACAGAAAGCCAUGAACUCCAAUCAUCAGUCUUGGCAGUGCAGCAUUUUCCUCAGAAACACACUGCAGGAAACAUUGCCAGGGUUAAAGGAGCCUCAUGGAGGAGUGGGGCAUAGCAGGAAAGGUCAGGUGUCUUGUCACUGAUGCAGCAGCAAACAUGACUGCAUGUGCUCGAAUGCUGCAAAUACGGCAAACCAUUUGUAUAGCCCGUUCCCUGAAUUUAACUGUGAGAAAAUCAUGUGAUCAAAUCCCAACAAUAAACUGAAAUGCGCAACAAAACACGACACAUACUUUCGAUGGAGCGUGACUGCUAAAGAGAAGCUCACUCAAAUACAGCAACAGCUGGGAACACGGGGCCAUAAAUGAAUAAACGAGGUGCCAACACGAUGGAACAGA